UGACAAGAAAUAUUGAUAUUGGACCCAAAGGGUACAAUGAUUGAAAUGAGAACAAUAUAAAAAACUUAACGACUAACAAUUGGAGGGCAAGUCUGGUGCCAGCAGCCGCGGUAAUUCCAGCUCCAAGAGUGUAUAUUAAAGUUGUUGCGGUUAAAAAGCUCGUAGUUGAAUUUCUGAAAAUAAUCUUGUGAUUGAUUUAACCGUCAUGAACAAAAAUUGUUUACAUACUUGAUAGAUGGAAACAUUUAUCUUAAUGACUUUGAAAAAAUUAGAGUGUUCAAAGCAUGAUUCACAUUUGAAUAAUACAGCAUGGGAUAAUAUAAUAUGACAUUAGUUAAAAUUUGUUGGUUUUCUUUGGCUAAUGUAAUGAUUAAAAGGGACAGUUGGAGUAAUUUAUAUUGGUUGGGGAGGGUGAAAUCCUAUGAUCC
rnacentral:rRNA from 1 species